GUCUUGGCUGGAGGCUGAAGAUGUCUUCCUCCAGGGCCCCAUUUAUCACGCAAGUGAAGUUGAGGAAUUUAACAGAAGAAUUGCUCGAGAAAUGAAAAAUCUCCCCAACAAGAAUCUCGAUGACUUGUAGGACCUCAUGAAAAUUUAUAAAAAAAUAAAGUUUGGUGUGAGAAAAUUACUCAGAGUACUGUCAUUUAUUCUGUGAAUAAUAAGAUAAUGUUCAUUCCCUCAACUCGAUACUAAAGAGUUUGAUAAAUCCUUAAUGAUUUAAAAACAAAAAACAACAACAAAAACAAUAAAUGACUGAAAAUAUUUAAGUAACUGAACAAUAUCUAU